rnacentral:lncRNA from 1 species
GCCACUAGCUACAGAUGCUGGAGAAUUUGGGCUGGUUUCUUCUGCAUUUUAACAAUCCCUGGGGCUUUCUUUGGUUCUUUCUUUAUUUGAGUGAGGUUGAGAUCAUCUUUCUAUCAUGUCUCUGCAUUCAGUGAUAUCCAUAUUUAUCCAUGUUUGAAAAGACACAGACAUCAAUCUGUCUGGAAAGAACGAUGUGAGGACAGGACCCCUGCUACUGUGUGUGUCUCUCAUCCUGAUGUUGACAUAUGUAAAAGAAAAAAUCUGCUCCGGACACUUGUGAAAACCAGCAAGACAGAUGUUAUUGGAACUCCUGCAUUAGGCUACGACCCUCAGUACAGAGUUGAGCUCAGCUCUGGAGGCAGCAUGGACAGUGAGUGGAGUGUUUAUGGACAAUGAGCAGAGGGUCAGCGGAUGGACAGUCACUAAGAGGAACUUGAUGAGGUAUCAAGGGGGUUUAUCAGCUGUGCAUCCAUCUUCUAGCAGCUUCUGUGUCUUUUCUCCCUGGAAUGUUCUCCUG